AUAAAGACUUUGAAAAAGAGAAAGAUAUCAAGUAUACUUACAGAGAGCCGUAUCAGGUGAAAGUCGGCAGUUUAACGAGAUAUGUAAUAUUCACUUUUGAGUUCCCAGUUUUAAAGCGUUAGCAAGUAGAAUUGGGCGGAGGCUUACCGUUAUAUAAGCGGAAAUUGAUGGAUUUCUUUAAGUGAUGAAUUUUAUAAUUCAUAAUUUGGGUGGUACCGCGGAGAUUGUAUCUUCGUCCCUAUG
rnacentral:ncRNA from 1 species